AGUGAACGCUGGCGGUAGGCCUAACACAUGCCAGUCGAACGGCAGCACAGUAAGAGCUUGCUCUUACGGGUGGCGAGUGGCGGACGGGUGAGGAAUACAUCGGAAUCUACUUUUUCGUGGGGGAUAACGUAGGGAAACUUACGCUAAUACCGCAUACGACCUACGGGUGAAAGCAGGGGAUCUUCGGACCUUGCGCGAUUGAAUGAGCCGAUGUCGGAUUAGCUAGUUGGCGGGGUAAAGGCCCACCAAGGCGACGAUCCGUAGCUGGGCUGAGAGGAUGAUCAGCCACACUGGAACUGAGACACGGUCCAGACUCCUACGGGAGGCAGCAGUGGGGAAUAUUGGACAAUGGGCGCAAGCCUGAUCCAGCCAUACCGCGUGGGUGAAGAAGGCCUUCGGGUUGUAAAGCCCUUUUGUUGGGAAAGAAAAGCAGCAGGUUAAUACCCCGCUGUUCUGACGGUACCCAAAGAAUAAGCACCGGCUAACUUCGUG
rnacentral:rRNA from 1 species